rnacentral:lncRNA from 1 species
AUCACGCAUAGUUUCUUUCUGACUAUAACCCUGUCUUCUUUUUUUUUUCCCCAGUUGGGAAGAUACAUCUGUUUCUUCUCCCUCAUUUGAUAUGAUCCAGUAAAAUCCAAGCUUUGGAGACGCUUGCCUGGAACAUCAGUGAUUACUUGAUUUCUCAGCACAUAAAUCUAACUCCAGUCCUUGUUGGGCAUAUAUUAGUAAUGAGUUCUAAAAAGGUCGGCUAGGAUGGGACCCCAUAAGAAAGCAAUAUUUAAGUCAUCACCUAAAAAGUAACAAGCCUUGAGGAUGUUGAGGAAAGAAUGUUCCAGGUGGAGACAAUAGCAGGAGCCGAGACCCUGAGGCUGGUUUUUCCUGGUCUUUGAGGAACAUCAGAAGGUGAGAUUAAAGGGGCAUCCAGAGUCAGGGCAGGUUCCUGUAGGCUGUUUGAGAUCAGGCUUAACU